rnacentral:misc_RNA from 1 species
GAUGAAGAACGCAGCAAAAUGCGAUAAGUAAUGUGAAUUGCAGAAUUCAGUGAAUCAUCGAAUCUUUGAACGCACAUUGCGCCCGCCAGUAUUCUGGCGGGCAUGCCUGUUCGAGCGUCAUUUCAACCCUCAAGCUCAGCUUGGUGUUGGGACUCGCGGUAACCCGCGUUCCCCAAAUCGAUUGGCGGUCACGUCGAGCUUCCAUAGCGUAGUAAUCAUACACCUCGUUACUGGUAAUCGUCGCGGCCACGCCGUAAAACCCCACCUUCUGAAUGUUGACCUCGGAUCAGGUAGGAAUACCCGCUGAACUUAAGCAUAUCAAUAAGCGGAGGA